UCUGGUCUUUGUAGUUAGACAGGCCUGAGUUUGGACACUGGUGCUACGCCUCAAUCACUGUCCAAUUUAGGGUGAGUUACCUGACCACUCUCAGCCUCAGUUUACCCAUUUCUAAACUUGAUCUAAUCAUGCAUUUCCUGGGAUUGUUUUGAGAUUAUCUGUUCUGUAAUAGUUGUUUAAUAAAUGGUAGGUAUUAUUAUUUUGCAGAGAUCUUGAAUAACAGGAUAAAAAGUUUGUGUGUUUUUUGUUUUUUGGGUUUUUUUAGUGAGCUAAAGGAAGAUUUGCAAAAGGUAACUACAAUUGGAACAAUCUGCCAGCCAUAUAAAGUUGGGAGAGAAUGGGGAGAGGGAAGAAGCAGGAGAGGUUAGGAAGCUGUUUUGUAGUUAGUUGGGCAAUCUGCAAACCUCAGGGUGAUGCUACUUCAUGGUCAGUUAAUGAUUUCAAAGUUUUAUCUUUGAGUGUUCAGAAUAUACAGAUCUUGUUUAUUUUAUUCCCAUUGGGUUUUUCUACCAGCAGGUAAAAGGAAAAUCAGCUGGAACUUCAAUCAACCAAUGUUACCAUAAACAAAAGAAGAACUUACAUAUUUGGGGUUAAUAUGUGAAGAACUCAUAGGUUUUAUGACCAACAAUAUAUUGCAAUCCAAGGGAAAAAAUGGAAGCAUUAUGAGCCAUUUUCAAAGGCUGUCUCACAAAAUGCACGCUGUAAUUACUGGACUGAAGAGAAUGAUUCCUUCCUGAUAUGAAAAGGUUCCUGAUUCCAGGAGAUGAUUCCAAAAGUGAAUUUUCCACACUGAAUGG